CCAAAAUGAGCAAGUGCAAGCCGUGCUCCUAUUGGUGAGACGUAGCCUGACAGUGUCUCAUCAACAGCCGCAAGACACAGCGCAAGACUUGGAGCAGGUGCGAGUCGUCCCAUGACGCUUUGCCUUCCGAAAACAAAUUCUGCCCUAAAACUGGGAUCACAUUCUCCUCCGCCCGCCGCACUCGGAUUACACGCGACCCAUGACGAAUAUUCUUGUCUCAAAGAAUCGAUCAGAACGAUGGUCUCUCGAUCAUGUGUUGCACGCCUUGCAACCUUCCGUAACUCUUCGCGGACAGAGGUGGCCUGCUGUUUUGUUGCGUGAGGCACUGCGG
rnacentral:lncRNA from 1 species